UUUGCACCCAACAGUGCGUGUGAGGAACGAACUGCUGUUUGAACGUCCCCUGAGAUUGUGCGUAGCCCCGUGUAAAUGUAAUAGCCUCCAUGGCUUAAUUGGCUAUCAAGCGAAUUUUCCCAGAUGAAAGCAAUGUUGGGUUAGGGGACGACGGUGCAGCCACCCAGCCUUUACCAGCAGCGUGCUGCAGACGAAGGCAGUCAAGGUGUGGAGGUGAUCACGCAGGUGCAGCUCAGUUGCCGUGAUGCUCCUUGAGUCAAUGAGCUCUUUGGUCUGCUCUUCUGCUCAAGCAGAAAAGGAUUGGCACUUCACCCUUGAGAAGCUGACAAGAACCACAGGCUUCUUCAGGCUCUAGCCUGAUUUUCUGGCUCAUAAGGCCAAAGGGAGCUGGAAAAGUCCCCACGGCAGGACUCAUGGUGGAGAGAGAAUGAUCUAGAGGAUUCAGGCCUCUGCAUACUGUGUCUGGGUCCCUCCUUAAAGAAUGAUAAAGACAAGUAAAGAGCUUGAAGCAGCCUGGAGUCCAGCCAGAAACCUUUAACUGAGCUUUAAAGGAGAUGGUCACAACACUUUUCAGAAUACUGGCAAAGGCCUCCUGUGGCCAGGUUUGUCCUGGGAUGAGCAAAAUUUAAUGUUAACCUGCUGUAUCUUUGCUUUUAAUAUAUCUGCUUGCCCAUCACAAUGAUGUUAUGGUUAAUUUCACCAAUUUGGUAACCUGCCUCUUGGGAAGUACGAAAGUAAGCAAGGGCCAGGUGUGGUGACUCACGCCUGUAAUCCCAGUACUUUGGGUGGCUGAGGCGGGUGGAUUG
rnacentral:lncRNA from 1 species